rnacentral:rRNA from 1 species
UAGUCCACGCCGUAAACGAUGAUAACUCGAUGUUGGCAAUACACCGUCAGCGUCCAAGCGAAAGCGUUAAGUUAUCCACCUGGGGAGUACGAUCGCAAGGUUGAAACUCAAAGGAAUUGACGGGGGCCCGCACAAGCGGAGGAGCAUGUGGUUUAAUUCGAUGAUACGCGAGGAACCUUACCUGGGCUCAAACGUAGAGUGACCAUACCGGAAACGGUAUUUCCCUUCGGGGCAGUCUACGAGGUGCUGCAUGGUUGUCGUCAGCUCGUGCCGUGAGGUGUCGGGUUAAGUCCCAUAACGAGCGCAACCCCUAUUCUUAGUUGCCAUCAGGUCAUGCUGGGGACUCUAAGAAACUGCCUACGCAAGUAGUGAGGAAGGUGGGGAUGACGUCAAAUCAGCACGGCCCUUACGUCCAGGGCUACACACGUGCUACAAUGGUCGAUACAGAGGGCUGCUACCUGGUGACAGGAUGCAAAUCUCGAAAAUCGAUCUCAGUUCGGAUCG